UCCGUUUUAUCAACGGCAGUCUCUCAAGAGUCCUCAACUAAAUGUUAGCAACUAAAGAUAAGGGUUGCGCUCGUUGCGGGACUUAACCCAACAUCUCACGACACGAGCUGACGACAACCGUGCACCACCUGUCACUCAGAUAACCUCCACUAUGUUUCCAUAGCUUUGCUGAGGAUGUCAAGUUUUGGUAAGGUUCUUCGCGUAUCCUCGAAUUAAACUACAUGCUCCACCACUUGUGCGGGUCCCCGUCAAUUCCUUUGAGUUUCAACCUUGCGAUCGUACUCCCCAGGCGGGGUAUUUAAUGCGUUAGCGGCGGCACCGAGAUUUCUCCCGAUAUCUAAUACCCAUCGUUUACGGCGUGGACUAC
rnacentral:misc_RNA from 1 species